UACGAAGGGGGCUAGCGUUGUUCGGAUUUACUGGGCGUAAAGCGCACGUAGGCGGACAUUUAAGUCAGAGGUGAAAUCCCAGGGCUCAACCCUGGAACUGCCUUUGAUACUGGAUGUCUUGAGUAUGGAAGAGGUGAGUGGAAUUCCGAGUGUAGAGGUGAAAUUCGUAGAUAUUUGGAGGAACACCAGUGGCGAAGGCGGCUCACUGGACCAUUACUGACGCUGAGGUGCGAAAGCGUGGGGAGCAAACAGG
rnacentral:rRNA from 1 species